rnacentral:rRNA from 1 species
GAUGAACGCUAGCGGCAGGCUUAAUACAUGCAAGUCGAGGGGUAACAUGGGUAGCAAUACCUGAUGACGACCGGCAAACGGGUGCGGAACACGUACGCAACCUUCCCAUAACUGGUGAAUAGCCUUCCGAAAGGGAGAUUAAUACACCGUAACAUAACGGAGCGGCAUCGCUUUGUUAUUAUAGGCUUCGGCCGGUUUUGGAUGGGCGUGCGCCUGAUUAGGUAGUUGGCGGGGUAACGGCCCACCAAGCCUGCGAUCAGUAACUGGUGU